CCCGUCGUUCACAUUUGUGAUGUUGGUCUAUACGAUUUUGCUAGCUAUUUCAUUCAAACAAACAAUGGCGGUGCUGUGGAUAAUGCUGUGUGCUUCAAUCUCGUUGAAUUAUACUGACGAUACUUGUUGCCUCCACCAAUCAUCUCGCCUUUUGAGUUGCUCAUCAAGGCUGCUGCCAUACAUACUGGUUAUUCAUUUUUAUGGCUGUGAGCUCCAGAAUGGCUUUUGCACUUAGUGGCAGCUUGCACUUGUUUCUUAGUGUUGCAUCCAGACGACUUGAGAAAGGAAUUCUGGACUAAUUUUUCUACGCAGUAUGUUGUUCCUCCUUGCAUUUCUUGAAUGUCUCAAGUCCAACCAUUCUUAGCUUAUGUUACCUUUCAAGUCCUCCAUGAUUGCUGUAGGGUUAAAUGCCAUGUUACCUUUCUGCACAGUGAAUAUUACGCACCGGGUAUCCAAGUGACAAAACCAACACAAUGCAUUGAAAAAGGUGUGCUUGCCUCGAAGGUAAUAAACCCAACGCUUUUGUCUGUUGUUCCCAAGGAUGGCGUAAUUGCAGAAGCAAAGAGAAAGGCCAAGCCAGAUCUUGACAAGAAUGUGAUGACUGCUGCAAGUAGACACAAAACAAUGCCAGAAGUUGUAAAAAAUGAGUUCGCUAUAAAGGUAAAUAAUCAAAAUUCCAGUUGAACGAUAAUUUUCUGUAACUAUAUAUAAUUAUAUAUCUUGUGAUUUGAUCAAUUAACAAAAACAUGGAUUGAAUUCCUUCAGGUGAGAGAUAAUCAGAACGAUGAGCUUAACAAAAAGGUAACAAAGGUGAAAGCAAAGGCAGUCUAUAAGGAUCUCCUGAAUUCAAAGACGAGAACAAAGGCAAAGCCAGAUGUUGCCAGUGAUGAGUUAAUAGCAAAGGUAACUGGCAUUUUGUUUCCCAGUUUCCCUCAUACAUCACCUGAAAACAGAUAAUCUGCUGUUUAUAGUUAAUAGCUUGAUUUUAAAUACAUUCAGGUGAUCGAUCAUCAUAGGAGAGGUGAGCUGCGUUUACUGACAGUCAGUGAUCUGAAGUGCUUCCUCGGUGCGAAGAAAGCAAAGGUUGGAGGAACGAAGGAAGUGCUAAUACAAAGAGUGACUGAGCUCUUGCUUGACAAAUGCAUUGCUAUUAGCAACUGAGAAGUCUGAACAUAACAAGCAUGUGAUGAUGUGAACCUACGCAAAGUACCCUUUUUUUGUGUUUCUACUUGUUGCAAUUUGAAGAGCCGCAAUCAACAAUAGCCGAAACACUGGUGCUAGAACAAAAUGACGACAGCAACUUGAAUUGUGUGUGUGUGUGUGUGUGUGUGUGUGUGUGUGUGUGUGUGUGUGUGUGUGUGUGUGUGUGUUUUGCGGGAACACAACUAUAAUUUUUCACUUGGAUUUUGAUACGUCAAUACCAGAAAGGCUUAAAGCCUAACUGUAGGUAGUCAUCUAAAAGGCCAUAUCAUAUAUUGAUACCUAAGAUUUUAGGUAAUGUAGAGGAUAGAGUGAGGAGAGAGAGAGGAAGAGGUUGCCUCACAAGGUCAAUGUUUAGGACUGAGAUGAGCCCAGCCAACAUUAUUAUGUUAAUAGUUAGUUGCUUGUACAUUGAUAUGGUUUCUGUAUAUUACUAGUAAUUUACUCGCACUCCGCUCGAGUCUUUAACCAUUUGUUUCCAAAGCUAAGAGAGCAUUGCUGUAGAAAUAUUGGCAUGGCACGCACCUCAGGGCGGUGGUAGAUCCCGGGGCGGUGGUAGAUCCCGGAGCCUCUCAGCGCCACUGCCUGCUGCAUUGCAUUGGCAUGAACUGAGAAAUUUGGAGAACACGCAGCAGGUGAUGGUCAUCAGAAGCUUCAAGUGUCAAAAGGUAUUAAUAAUGUUGCUUGUUUUGAUACAGAUAUGAUAUAUAGCUCUAAAGUCACAUACAUGAUCACAUUAUCGAGUGAAGGCCGCAUAGGAAAGUUGCAGAUCUGAGUAUCCAUUUGUUAUUUCAGUGGGACCCUAAAAAAGAAAUAAUGAACUUUCAUUUUUGUAGAGUUGUUCAAGUUUUGGCAAUAAAUCUGUAAGAUAAGGACUUUAGGACCACACAAAGCUCACAUUUUUAAAACUAUUAACAUCUAGAUUAUGUCUGAACAUUUAUGUCUAAUUUGUGUAGCGCGGGAGAAUUAUUUCAGUUAUUGUCAACUGCUAAUGACAGUAUCUGCUGAAUAUGUCCAAUUGAUCCUAAUUAUAAGAAAGGGAUUAAAAUGAAUAUAUUAAUAUAUGAAUACAUAAUUAAAACUCUCUGGAAUCCAAAUAGAUCACAAAAAUCUACAUAUGAAUUUAGACACGCCUGACGAACAACGAAACCACCUAUUAAUUCAAUAAUCCUUAUCUGCUCUCUUUUUAAAAUAAACAUAGAACCUCCAUAUCAAGGAAGAAAAAACAUUAUUUCAGGGUAGUGUACCUCUGCAGCAUGAGCCUCCUGGUUCUGGAGCAUAUAAACUGCAUGCGGAGAGUAGAGACAAAAAAAUUAUUUAUGAGAGGGAGAAUCACAACAAGUUUUUUCAUUCAUUCAUUUCAGCAAACGAAUGCACAUAUCAGUAGCAGAUGAUCUACAUUUUUAUCCUAGCAUUCCACUCUAAACAUACAAACAAAACAAUUGUAGAAUGUUUGAGAGAUGUAUUUUCCUAUAUAUUUGUUCGAAGAGAAUCCCACGAAUGAAAUUACACUAAAUCAAAGUCUACAGACCAAUACUUCUUUAUUUUCAAAGCCUUUGAAAUUUGAAUGAUGCCAAUGUAAUGCAAUAUUCGGAGAAGCAUUUUCUAAGAGACAUUUCAACAAACACUAAGAGGGAUGUCCAAGAUAUGGAAGUGCUGACAUUCUCAAGACGCUGAUCAUAGAGGAAGACCUGGUAACCUGCGCAAAAUCAAAUAGAAAUAAGGCACCGCGAGUGCUCGAGUGCCCCAACCAGACUUCGCUAUCGUCGUCGCACAACCACUGUGCACCGCUCGCUGCACAACACCCGCGCACCGCCCGCUGGACAGCCCACGAGCACUGUCCACAGCUCGCUCUUGCGUAGGUCGUAGGCGCGUCCUCGCCCUUGCGUCCUCGCCUGCUCCGCCAAUUCGCUCUCGCGCGCAACUCGCUCCUGCCAUCACGCUCAACAUCACCCUCGCUCGUGCCAUCGUGCGUAGCCUCGCCCCUGCGCCCAUCCCGUGACGCACUGCCCACCCCUCCGACCCUCUCUAUCUCACUCUCUAUUCAUUUUCC
rnacentral:lncRNA from 1 species